rnacentral:rRNA from 1 species
CGACGUUGAUAGGUCGGGUGUGUAAGCGCAGCGAUGCGUUGAGCUAACCGAUACUAAUGAACCGUGAGGCUUAACCUUACAACGCCGAAG